AAGGGUUAUAGCUCUUUUAGAAUUUGUCUACUGGGUUUUCUGACCUUCCUUGGAAACCAA
rnacentral:snRNA from 1 species